GAUGAACGCUGGCGGCGUGCCUAAUACAUGCAAGUAGAACGCUGAAGGAGGAGCUUGCUCUUCUGGAUGAGUUGCGAACGGGUGAGUAACGCGUAGGUAACCUGCCUGGUAGCGGGGGAUAACUAUUGGAAACGAUAGCUAAUACCGCAUGACAACAGUUAUUGCAUGAUAACUGUUUAAAAGGGGCAACUGCUCCACUACCAGAUGGACCUGCGUUGUAUUAGCUAGUUGGUGAGGUAACGGCUCACCAAGGCGACGAUACAUAGCCGACCUGAGAGGGGGAUCGGCCACACAGGGACUGAGACACGGCCCAGACUCCGACGGGAGGCAGCAGUAGGGAAUCUUCGGCAAUGGACGGAAGUCUGACCGAGCAACGCCGCGUGAGUGAAGAAGGUUUUCGGAUCGUAAAGCUCUGUUGCAAGAGAAGAACGAGUGUGAGAGUGGAAAGUUCACACUGUGACGGUAUCUUACCAGAAAGGGACGGCUAACUACGUG
rnacentral:rRNA from 1 species